rnacentral:tRNA from 1 species
ACCUGCUUGGCUCAGUGGGUAGAGCAUGUGAGUCUUGAUCUCAGGGUAGUGGGUUCAAACCCCGCAUUGGGUG